CCUUGACAUACUAAGAACUUUUCCAGAGAUGGAUUGGUGCCUUCGGGAACUUAGAUACAGGUGCUGCAUGGCUGUCGUCAGCUCGUGUCGUGAGAUGUUGGGUUAAGUCCCGNAACGAGCGCAACCCUUUUCCUUAUUUGCCAGCGGGUCAUGCCGGGAACUUUAAGGAUACUGCCAGUGACAAACUGGAGGAAGGCGGGGACGACGUCAAGUCAUCAUGGCCCUUACGGCCAGGGCUACACACGUGCUACAAUGGUCGGUACAAAGGGUUGCUACCUCGCGAGAGGAUGCUAAUCUCAAAAAGCCGAUCGUAGUCCGGAUCGCAGUCUGCAACUCGACUGCGUGAAGUCGGAAUCGCUAGUAAUCGCGGAUCAGAAUGCCGCGGUGAAUACGUUCCCGGGCCUUGUACACACCGCCCGUCACACCAUGGGAGUUUGUUGCACCAGAAGUAGGUAGUCUAACCGCAAGGAGGACGCUUACCACGGUGUGGCCGAUGACUGGGGUGAAGUCGUAACAAGGUAGGCGUAGAUGA
rnacentral:rRNA from 1 species